AUACGGAAGGUCCGGGCGUUAUCCGGAUUUAUUGGGUUUAAAGGGAGCGCAGGCGGAGAUGCAAGCGUGACGUCAAAUUUCGGGGCUCAACCCCGUCUCGCGCCGCGAACUGCGUCCCUUGGUUGCGGGAAGGGGAGGCGGAACUCGUGGUGUAGCGGUGAAAUGCAUAGAUAUCACGAAGAACUCCGAUCGCGAAGGCAGCCUUCCGGCCCGUCAACGACGCUCAUGCUCGAAGGUGCGGGUAUCAAACAGGAUUAGAUACCCUGGUAGUCCGCACAGUAAACGAUGGACACCCGCGGUUUGGCCUAUAUGGCUGAGCCGCCAAGCGAAAGCGUUAAGUGUCCCACCUGGGGAGUACGCCGGCAACGGUGAAACUCAAAUGAAUUGACGGGG
rnacentral:rRNA from 1 species